rnacentral:rRNA from 1 species
AACGCGAAGAACCUUACCUACCCUUGACAUCCUGCGAAUCCCGAUGAGAGUUGGGAGUGCCGAAAGGAACGCAGAGACAGGUGCUGCAUGGCUGUCGUCAGCUCGUGUUGUGAGAUGUUGGGUUAAGUCCCGUAACGAGCGCAACCCUUGUCCUUAGUUACCAGCAAGUAAAGUUGGGGACUCUAAGGAGACUGCCGGUGAUGAACCGGAGGAAGGCGGGGACGACGUCAAGUCAUCAUGGCCUUUAUGGGUAGGGCUACACACGUGCUACAAUGGGGCGUACAGAGGGUAGCCAACCCGCGAGGGGGAGCCAAUCUCAGAAAGCGCCUCGUAGUCCGGAUUGGAGUCUGCAACUCGACUCCAUGAAGUUGGAAUCGCUAGUAAUCGCGAAUCAGCAUUGUCGCGGUGAAUACGUUCCCGGGCCUUGUA